GAGUUUGAUCGUGGCUCAGGAUGAACGCUAGCGGCAGGCUUAAUACAUGCAAGUCGAGGGGCAGCACGGGUAGCAAUACUUGGUGGCGACCGGCGCACGGGUGCGUAACACGUAUACAACCUACCUAUAACAGGGGGAUAGCCUUUCGAAAGAGAGAUUAAUACCCCGUAAUAAAUUGAGUGGCAUCACUUGAUUUUGAAAGUUCCGACGGUUAUAGAUGGGUAUGCGUCCUAUUAGCUAGUUGGUGGUGUAAUGGACCACCAAGGCGACGAUAGGUAGGGGAUCUGAGAGGACUAACCCCCACACUGGUACUGAGACACGGACCAGACUCCUACGGGAGGCAGCAGUAAGGAAUAUUGGUCAAUGGAGGCAACUCUGAACCAGCCAUGCCGCGUGCAGGAAGACGGCCCUAUCGGGUUGUAAACUGCUUUUGUACCAGAGAAAACCUACUCACGUGUGAGUAGCUGAUAGUAUGGUAAGAAUAAGCAUCGGCUAACUUCGUGCCAGCAGCCGCAGUAA
rnacentral:rRNA from 1 species